rnacentral:lncRNA from 1 species
GAAGGUUGGGAUAGAGUAGGUUCUACCAUGACCUCAGAUUUUGGGUCAUGAGAAAUUAUUCAUCGGUCUAAUUAGUAAAAUAGCAAGAUAUCUAAUAGAAUCUUGUGGAUUGAUAUGUUGAUAUUUGUAUCUAUCUUCGGGAGGCUACGGGAUACUCUUAGGGAAAACUUCUCUAAUUUGAUUCCUUAUCAUUUGUAUUUGUCAUGUUCAGUACUCUAAACUUGUAUUCCACUCUUUUUUGCUCAGAUAGUGAGGACCAGAUCUAGAGUUGUUGAGGAUGUUGGCCAACACUCGCUAUUUGAGUCCUAGUCAAGGUACGAGGCAAGGGUCAUGACCGAGACAGAGGUAGUGGAUGGGCAUAAAAAGUGGAUUUUUCUAGGGUACAAGAUUGAUUAGCCUCACUCAAUCAUGAGAUUAAGUUUGAAGAGGUGUCUAAUAUGAUGAAAGAUUUGGG